GCCUAAAGCGUCCGUAGCCGGCUUUGUAAGCUUUCGGUUAAAUCUAUAUGCUCAACAUAUAGGCUGCCGGGAAUACUGCAAAGCUAGGGAGUGGGAGAGGUAGACGGUACUCCGUAGGAAGGGGUAAAAUCCUUUGAUCUAUGGAUGACCACCUGUGGCGAAGGCGGUCUACCAGAACACGUUCGACGGUGAGGGAUGAAAGCUGGGGGAGCAAACCGGAUUAGAUACCCGGGUAGUCCCAGCUGUAAACUAUGCAAACUCAGUGAUGCAUUGGCUUGUGGCCAGUGCAGUGCCGCAGGGAAGCCGUUAAGUUUGCCGCCUGGGAAGUACGUACGCAAGUAUGAAACUUAAAGGAAUUGGCGGGGGAGCACCACAAGGGGUGAAGCCUGCGGUUCAAUUGGAGUCAACGCCAGAAAUCUUACCCGGAGAGACUGCAGGAUGAAGGUCAAGCUGAAGACUUUACCAGACAAGCUGAGAAGUGGUGCAUGGCCGUCGCCAGCUCGUGCCGUGAGGUGUCCUGUUAAGUCAGGUAACGAGCGAGAUCCUUGCCUCUAGUUGCCACCAUUACUCUCAGGAGUAGUGGGGCGAAUUAGCGGGACUGCCGUAGUUAAUACGGAGGAAGGAGAGGGCCACGGCAGGUCAGUAUGCCCCGAA
rnacentral:rRNA from 1 species